GGCAAUUUGGUGACCAGGCUGAAUUAAGUAAUUUUUUAAAGGUGUCUCUAUUUUUCAAGAUAGGCGAGUGAAAGACUGUUUUCAGUGGGUGCUGUUGGGGCCUGAUGCAAACCAUAUUGACUUGACCUGUGGUUUGUGCACAGAAAAAGAAUAGCUAAUGUUUUGCCCACCUUCAAUAGUUACAGGUCGGUUCACCCAGAAGCCAGGGGGCAUCUCAGUGAAGCGCUCACUGAAGACACAGGAGUUGGGACCAGUGUGGCAGGAAGUCCUCUCCCACUGACCACAGGCAACGAGAGCCUGGACAUCACCAUCGUCAGGCACCUCCAGUACUGCACCCAACUCGUGCAGCAAAUUGUUUUCUCAAGCAAAACCCCAUUUGUGGCAAGAAGUCUCUUAGAGAAGCUUUCUAGGCAGAUCCAAGUGAUGGAGAAACUCGCAGCUGUCAGUGAUGAGAACAUAGGAAAUAUCAGUUCUGUUGUGGAAGCCAUACCAGAAUUUCACAAAAAGCUGUCUUUGCUGUCAUUCUGGACCAAGUGCUGCAGCCCUGUUGGUGUCUACCACAGCCCAGCGGACAGAGUGAUGAAGCAGCUGGAGGCCAGCUUUGCCAGAACUGUCAACAAAGAAUAUCCAGGACUUGCAGACCCAGUGUUUCGAACCCUGGUGUCCCAAAUUCUGGACCGGGCUGAGCCUCUGCUUUCCUCCAGCCUGUCCUCGGAAGUCGUCACUGUUUUCCAGUAUUACAGUUACUUCACCAGCCACGGCGUCAGUGACCUGGAGAGUUACCUGAGCCAGCUGGCCAGGCA
rnacentral:sRNA from 1 species